GCGCUCGUGGCGAAAAUGGUAGACGCGCCCGCUUCAGGAGCGGAUUUUUGCCAGUUCGACUCUGGCCGAGCGCACCA
rnacentral:tRNA from 1 species